GCCACCCCUUUUCUCUCCAGAAUGAAGACAAAUAAACAGCAAGCCCAGAACUCAAAUGAGUGGCUUUCAUAAGAGCUUAAAUCAAAGAAAGGAGGUGUCCUUUCCCGAGAGGACCGCUAAGCGGUGGGAAGACUGCACACUCUGACGCAAAACGCAGAGAGCGCAGUGCUUAAGCAAAGCCCGUGAGAGCAGCUGAUGAAGAUGUCAUCUGGUGUGCGUGCGGUUCAGACACAGGCAUCGUCGGUGAGGGGUGGCACUGUGGAGACCAACCAGACCUUGAUUCACUGAAUGUGAAGCUACACAUGGAUCAAUUUCCUCUGAGAGAAAUCUAGGAACAUGUUGACUGAACCCUACACAAUGGGCAGCUGAGGAAAUACCCACGUUGAACCAGGUUACUACAAGAUACUGAAUAUAGUUCCCUGUGCCGUACAGAAGAAACUUGUUGUUUAUCUGUUUUAUAUGUAGCUUGACACGGAAAGAGGAGACGAGUGAAAGUAGCCCAUUUCCAGAAUGAACGUUUAUGGUUCCCCCAUUCUGAACCAUCAUGAAAAACAGAAACAGUAAUAGCUCACCGCAAGCAUGAAGCCGACCCUGCAGUUUUAUGAGACACCUACUGCUAAAAAAGACCACAGUUUGGGGUGGAAAUAGUUUUGAUACUCAGGUUAGUGUUAUUCUGAUUACAGCAGGAUCGUAUCGACAGUUUUUAUUGAAUUUGCUUUUAAGGAAAUACACACAUCCCUUUUGGUGCAGUAGUAUUAAAGCAAUAGUCCCAUUAGACACCAUAUUAUAUUCACCCAUUAAAAACAUAAGCAGUAGCUUGAGCAUGCCGAUUUCCACGUGCACCUUUGUUAGCAACUGCAGAGUGGUUACUUGACUUGACGAAGGUCACGUGGCUGCGAAGAGGAUUCAGUGCCACACCCCAGGCCUUGGGGACCCUAAGCUGUGCACUUUUCAUUACACCAGCUCUCUCUGGCUAGAAAUACUGAGGUCAUGUUUUCUGCUUUCCUUAUUUCAAGGGGUGAUGGUAUCUCAUGAGGUUAAUAUAUACAAAUGAGCAGUGUUAAUACUGAAUCUGUAAAAAGCUUUCCUCUCUGUAGGCUCAAGCAGAAAAAUCUGGUUUAAGUUUCCUGAAUAACUUCCCUCUAGGUAAAUGCUACAUUAAAAAAAUUCCCAAAUCCCAAAAUCAUAAAAAUAAAAAUCAGGAGAAUGCGUGUCCUGUUGACAUUCAAGAAUAGAUAAAAUUUUAGAAAAGUCAGUAUUGCUAGCAAAACAGAGAUUGAAGAGAGAUUUGUAAAGCUCAAAUUUUUAUGAUCAACUUUUUUUUUUUUUUUUUUUUUUUUGCCUUUUAAUUUUAUCAUCCCGCCUCUAUCCACAAUGGAGCUGUGCCUCUGGGUCCUGAAACAAUGACUGUAUUUCCAAGUCUCCCAUUCAGCGAGGUGUGGCCACGUGACCAGGCACCGGCCAGUGAGACGCGAGGAGCUAGGAUGCGUGUGACUCUGAAAAUUACUUUUAAAGGGAGGAGGAUGCUGCUGUUUCUCGCUCCCUUUCUUCAUCUUGCUGCUCAGAAGGUGAAAGAAAGCUGCGUCCAGGAGAAGUUAAGGAAGGUUCCCAAGGGUGCACAAAGGGAUUCACCUCCAGUGUGCUGUGCUCCAAGCUGGUGCCGCUUCGCAACCUCUCUCCUGCCCCCUCCGCAGUCUCCCACGCCCCACCACCCAACACACCAGCUUCACAAAGGGGCUACUGGGGACUGAACCUGGGACCUCGUGCAUGCUAAGCACGCGCUCUGAGCUACAUCCUCCCCCGGUGCUUCCCUUUGUCAUAACACCUGUGCUGCUGAUUUGAAUGUGACUGGUGAGAGUGAGCACCACCUGGUUUGUAGGGGGAGAAAAAAGCUUUUAAAAUGGACUCAAGAAACAGAAAAGCCUUCUGUCAAAGAUGGCUCCAUGUUAAAUCUGGCCAAGUUUUGAUUCUGCGCUAUUGGAAUCUAGGAUUUGGACCUUAGGAGGUGGCCUCAGAUCUCCUUCCCUGAUGCUGUUGUCACAGUGCAGCACAAUGUGGAUGACUCUCAGAGGAAACAGCGUACAGGAGUCACACGGUUUCCAUGAAAAUCAACGAGGAAAUCAACAAAUGGAACUUCUGAGCGAAUUUGCUUCUGGUGGAGGAACGGGGAGGAGAACGAACUGUGCCUUGUUCUCAUGUGCAAGUUCCAGUGACGGUAAUUGGUGGAAUGACCUUGUGGCAAUGACCUUGCGGGAACGACUUCACCUUCACCUUGCUGGUCAUCAGUGCCAUCUGAAAAAUUCCACAUAUGAGCGAUCUCACAUGGUAUUUUAAUGGAAUACUACUCAGCCAUAAAAACUGACAACAUAACGCCAUUUGCAGCAACAUGGAUGCUCCUGGAGAAUGUCAUUCUAAGUGAAGUAAGCCAGAAAGUAUGAGUUUCUUAAAGUAACUGCCCAAGGACUUCCCUUACCUUGAAAUGCUGCACGAAUCCUAUUUGGAUUCCUUUGUAAAAUGUUUGUUUCUUUUAAAAUAUUUUUAAUUCUUUGAAAGUUUCUUAGAAAAUGAAAAAGUUAAAUAAAUCAUAG